GACGAACGCUGGCGGCGUGCUUAACACAUGCAAGUCGAACGGAAAGGCCCUGCUUUUGUGGGGUGCUCGAGUGGCGAACGGGUGAGUAACACGUGAGUAACCUGCCCUUGACUUUGGGAUAACUUCAGGAAACUGGGGCUAAUACCGGAUAGGAUCUCCUGCUGCAUGGUGGGGGUUGGAAAGUUUCGGCGGUUGGGGAUGGACUGGCUGCUUAUCAGCUUGUUGGUGGGGUAGUGGCUUACCAAGGCUUUGACGGGUAGCCGGCCUGAGAGGGUGACCGGCCAUCUUGGGACUUAGAUACGGCACAGAUUCCUAAGCGAGGCAGCUGUGGGGAAGAUUGACCAAUGGGCGGCAGCCUGAUGAAGAAACGCUGCGGGCGGGAUGACGGUCUUCGGGUUGUAAAACGCUUUCGCAUGUGACGAAGCGUGAGUGACGGUAACGGGUAAAGAAGCACCGGCUAAACUCGUGC
rnacentral:rRNA from 1 species